AGAAAUCUAUACUUUGAUGCUAUUAAUAACUUUGAGUAAACCAGAAGUAGCUUCCUAUCAAUUAUUUAGAAAAUUGAUGUGGAAAGACCUUCAAUUGUUCUUUGAACAAUUGGUUUUUAUACGACAGCAAAAUAAUUUUUGUGGUCGUAUAUUGGUAUGACGUUGGCGUCGUCGUCGUCGUUGUCGGCUUCGUCCUGCGUCGUCCAAAGACACAUUGGUUUUCGCACUCUAACUUUAGUUUAAGUAAAUGGAUCUCUAUGAAAUUUUACCACAAGGUUCAAUACCACAAAAGGAAGGUUGGGAUUGAUUUUGGGGGUUAUGGUACCAACAGUAAAGGAAUUAGGGGCCAAAAAGGGGCCAAAAAUAAGCAUUUUUGUAACUUCCAGACAUAACUUGUGUGUUAGUGUAUGGAUCUCUCUGACAUUGUACCACAAGGUUCCAUAUCACAAAAGGAAUGCUGGGAUUGAUUUUGGGGGUAAUUGCCUCAAAAUUUUAGGAAUUAGGGGCCAAAAAAGGGGCAAAAAACAAGCAUUUUUCUAGUUUCAUGACAAUAACUUGUGUGUAAGUGUAUGGAUCUUUCUGAAAUUGUACUACAAGGUUCCAUAUCACAAAGGGAAAGCUGGAAUUGAGUUUGGGGGUAAUUGCCGAAACGUUUAGGAAUUGGGGACCAAAAAGGGGCCAAAAAUAAGCAUUUUUUUAGUUUCCAGACAAUAACUUGUGUUCAAGUGUAUGGAUCUCUCUGAAAUUGUACUGCAAGGUACCAUACCACAAAGGGAAGGCUGGGAUUGAUGAUGGGGUAAUUGCCUCAAUAUUUUAGGAAUUAGGGGCCAAAAAGGGGCAAAAAACAAGCAUUUUUCUAGUUUCAGGACAAUAACUUGUGUGUAAGUGUAUGGAUCUUUCUGAAAUUGUACUACAAGGUUCCAUAUCACAAAGGGGAAGCUGGGUUUGAGUUUGGGGGUAAUUGCCCUAAACGUUUAGGAAUUUGGGGCUAAAAAGGGGCCAAAAAACACAUUUUUAUACGACCGCAAAAAUUUUUGCGGUCGUAUAUUGGAAUGACGUUGGCGUCGUCGUCGUCGUCGUCCGGCGUCGUCCGAAGACACAUUGGUUUUCGCACUCUAACUUUAGUUUAAGUGAAUGGAUCUCUAUGAAAUUUUACCAUAAGGUUCAAUACCACAAAAGGAAGGUUGGGAUUGAUUUCGGGGGUUAUGGUACCAACAAUUAAGGAAUUAGGGGCCAAAAAGGGGCCAAAAAUAAGCAUUUUUGUAACUUCCAGACAUAACUUGUGUGUUAGUGUAUGGAUCUCUCUGAUAUUGUACCACAAGGUUCCAUAUCACACAGGGAAUGCUGGGAUUGAUUUUGGGGGUAAUUGCCUCAAAAUAUUAGGAAUUAGGGGCCAAAAAAUGGGCAAAAAACAAGCAUUUUUCUAGUUUCAGGACAAUAACUUGUGUGUAAGUGUAUGGAUCUUUCUGAAAUUGUACUACAAGGUUCCAUAUCACAAAGGGAAAGCUGGAAUUGAGUUUGGGGGUAAUUGCCCAAAACGUUUAGGAAUAAGGGGCCAAAAAUAAGCAUUUUUCUAGUUUCCAGACAAUAACUUGUGUUCAAGUGUAUGGAUCUCUCUGAAAUUGUACUGCAAGGUACCAUACCACAAAGGGAAGGCUGGGAUUGAGUUUGGGGGUGAUGAAUCAUAAGGGGGUUCAAAAAAUUUGGGGGGGGGGAUUGUUUUUUUUUUCCUUUUUUUUCUUUUUUUCCUUUUUUUUCUUUUAAAAUUUUCCAUUUUAAGUUGGUUAUUUCUGUUUUAUAUUUAAAAGCAAAUAAUAAUGAUAUGGUAGGAGAUACACACCAAACAGGAUGUGUAAAUUAUUAUAAAAUAAGUAUUGUGCAAUAGCAAGAAAUUUUCAAUUGCACAGUAUUGCACAAUAGCAAGAAAUCUUCAAUUGCACAGUAUUGCGCAAUAGCAAGAAAUCUUCAAUUGCACAGUAUUGUGCAAUAGCAAGAAAUAUCCAAUAGCACAAUAUUGCGCAAUAGCAAGAAAUUGUCAAUUGUACAGUAUUGCGCAAUAGCAAGAAAUAUUCAAUUGCACAGUAUUGUGCAAAAGAAGAUACUUCGUAUAAAUUGCUUAUUUAUUGACCAAUUUCAAUGGGGUUUUAUUCUUGAAUUCUUGGGGUUCUUUAAUAUGCUGAUUCUAACUGUGUAUUAAGCUUUUGGAUUUUGGGCCCCGUUUUUAAAUUGGUCCACAUUGAGGUCCAAAGGGUCCAAAAUUAAACUUUGUUUGAUUUCAUCAAAAAUUGAAUUAUUGGGGUUCUUUGAUAUGCAGAAUCUAACCGUGUAUUUAAAUUCUUAAUUUUUGGUUCUGUUUUCAAAUUGGUCUACAUUAAGGUCAAAAGGGGCC